rnacentral:rRNA from 1 species
UACGUAGGGGGCUAGCGUUGUCCGGAAUCAUUGGGCGUAAAGCGCGCGUAGGCGGCCCGGUAAGUCCGCUGUAAAAGUCAAAGGCUUAACCUUUGAAUGUCAGUGGAUACUGCCGGGCUAGAGUCCGGAAGAGGCGAGUGGAACUCCUGGUGUAGCGGUGGAAUGCGCAGAUAUCAGGAAGAACACCGACGGCGAAGGCAGCUCGCUGGGACGGUACUGACGCUGAGGUGCGAAAGCAUAGGGAGCAAACAGG